rnacentral:lncRNA from 1 species
UAUUAUUAUUACAGUCAAUGAAUGAAGAGCCUAUUGCUGCAAAGUCAUCUGUCUGGAAAAAAACUACUGAUUCUGCCAGAGGAGAAUGCUUAGUGGGAAGCUGAGGUCACAUCAGUACUUCUUUCCAUCACUUUAGAAAUUUUACUAUGAAGACUAAAACAUCUACAAAGGGUCUUCAUUUUUCAAGCUCAGCAAGGUGAUUGAGGCUCAGGAGACUGUUAGAACCAUACAGGGAACAAGGGAGAGAGCUAACAUAGAAAUACUGCUCUGCACCUCAUCUCCAUCUCUGUGGUUUUCAAGACUCAAAAAGACAAGGGUACAGCUGACCUGACCUAGCGAUGGCUCAAGGCGCUCAACGACAUUCAGUAGACAACCAUAGUCAUCAUUUCAACCAGCUUUUCUGUGUCAUGGAACAGGAUUUAGCAAGAUUAAUGAAAGUGAACAGUGGAUUACCAGGAGCAGCAGAGAGGUGAGAGAAUACACAUCUCCACAUGCAGAUGGA